rnacentral:rRNA from 1 species
UACGAAGGGGGCUAGCGUUGCUCGGAAUCACUGGGCGUAAAGCGCACGUAGGCGGAUUGUUAAGGCAGGGGUGAAAUCCUGGAGCUCAACUCCAGAACUGCCUUUGAUACUGGCGAUCUCGAGUCCGGGAGAGGUGAGUGGAACUGCGAGUGUAGAGGUGAAAUUCGUAGAUAUUCGCAAGAACACCAGUGGCGAAGGCGGCUCACUGGCCCGGUACUGACGCUGAGGUGCGAAAGCGUGGGGAGCAAACAGG